ensembl:miRNA Gm23967 predicted gene, 23967
CCUGGAACUCGCUUUGUAGACCAGGCUGGCCUCAAACUCACAGAGAUCUGCCUGCCUCUGCUUCCCCAGGGCUGGGAU